rnacentral:rRNA from 1 species
UGAACGCUGGCGGCGUGCCUACUACAUGCAAGUCGAGCGACCAGACGAGGAGCUUGCUCCUCUGACGUUAGCGGCGGACGGGUGAGUAACACGUGGAUAACCUACCUAUAAGACUGGGAUAACUUCGGGAAACCGGAGCUAAUACCGGAUAAUAUAUUGAACCGCAUGGUUCAAUAGUGAAAGACGGUUUUGCUGUCACUUAUAGAUGGAUCCGCGCCGCAUUAGCUAGUUGGUAAGGUAACGGCUUACCAAGGCAACGAUGCGUAGCCGACCUGAGAGGGUGAUCGGCCACACUGGAACUGAGACACGGUCCAGACUCCUACGGGAGGCAGCAGUAGGGAAUCUUCCGCAAUGGGCGAAAGCCUGACGGAGCAACGCCGCGUGAGUGAUGAAGGUCUUCGGAUCGUAAAACUCUGUUAUUAGGGAAGAACAAUUGUGUAAGUAACUAUGCACGUCUUGACGGUACCUAAUCAGAAAGCCACGGCUAACUACGUG